AAAUUGAAGAGUUUGAUCAUGGCUCAGAUUGAACGCUGGCGGCAGGCCUAACACAUGCAAGUCGAGCGGAAACGACACUAACAAUCCUUCGGGUGAUGCCUACGGGCCAAAGAGGGGGACCUUCGGGCCUCUCGCGUCAAGAUAUGCCUAGGUGGGAUUAGCUAGUUGGUGAGGUAAUGGCUCACCAAGGCGACGAUCCCUAGCUGGUCUGAGAGGAUGAUCAGCCACACUGGAACUGAGACACGGUCCAGACUCCUACGGGAGGCAGCAGUGGGGAAUAUUGCACAAUGGGCGAAAGCCUGAUGCAGCCAUGCCGCGUGUAUGAAGAAGGCCUUCGGGUUGUAAAGUACUUUCAGUUGUGAGGAAGGGUGUGUAGUUAAUAGCUGCGCAUCUUGACGUUAGCAACAGAAGAAGCACCGGCUAACUCCGUGCCAGCAGCCGCGGUAAUACGGAGGGUGCGAGCGUUAAUCGGAAUUACUGGGCGUAAAGCGCAUGCAGGUGGUUCAUUAAGUCAGAUGUGAAAGCCCGGGGCUCAACCUCGGAACUGCAUUUGAAACUGGUGAACUAGAGUGUGGAGCAUGUGGUUUAAUUCGAUGCAACGCGAAGAACCUUACCUACUCUUGACAUCCAGAGAAGCCAGCGGAGACGCAGGUGUGCCUUCGGGAGCUCUGAGACAGGUGCUGCAUGGCUGUCGUCAGCUCGUGUUGUGAAAUGUUGGGUUAAGUCCCGCAACGAGCGCAACCCUUAUCCUUGUUUGCCAGCGAGUCAUGUCGGGAACUCCAGGGAGACUGCCGGUGAUAAACCGGAGGAAGGUGGGGACGACGUCAAGUCAUCAUGGCCCUUACGAGUAGGGCUACACACGUGCUACAAUGGCGCAUACAGAGGGCAGCAAGCUAGCGAUAGUGAGCGAAUCCCAAAAAGUGCGUCGUAGUCCGGAUUGGAGUCUGCAACUCGACUCCAUGAAGUCGGAAUCGCUAGUAAUCGUGAAUCAGAAUGUCACGGUGAAUACGUUCCCGGGCCUUGUACACACCGCCCGUCACACCAUGGGAGUGGGCUGCAAAAGAAGUGGGUAGUUUAACCUUUCGGGGAGGACGCUCACCACUUUGUGGUUCAUGACUGGGGUGAAGUCGUAACAAGGUAGCCCUAGGGGAACCUGGGGCUGGAUCACCUCCUUAUACGAAGAUAC
rnacentral:rRNA from 1 species